GAUGAACGCUGGCGGCGUGCCUAAUACAUGCAAGUCGAGCGAAUGGAUUAAGAGCUUGCUCUUAUGAAGUUAGCGGCGGACGGGUGAGUAACACGUGGGUAACCUGCCCAUAAGACUGGGAUAACUCCGGGAAACCGGGGCUAAUACCGGAUAACAUUUUGAACCGCAUGGUUCGAAAUUGAAAGGCGGCUUCGGCUGUCACUUAUGGAUGGACCCGCGUCGCAUUAGCUAGUUGGUGAGGUAACGGCUCACCAAGGCAGCGAUGCGGAGCCGACCUGAGAGGGUGAUCGGCCACACUGGGACUGAGACACGGCCCAGACUCCUACGGGAGGCAGCAGUAGGGAAUCUUCCGCAAUGGACGAAAGUCUGACGGAGCAACGCCGCGUGAGUGAUGAAGGCUUUCGGGUCGUAAAACUCUGUUGUUAGGGAAGAACAAGUGCUAGUUGAAUAAGCUGGCACCUUGACGGUACCUAACCAGAAAGCCACGGCUAACUACGUGCCAGCCGCCGCCGUAC
rnacentral:rRNA from 1 species